UCCCCGUUACCGGGGCAGUCUGAUUAGAAAAAUUCAACUAAUCAUAAGGGUUGCGCUCGUUGAUGGACUUAACCAAACAUCUCACGACACGAGCUGACGACGGCCAUGCAACACCUGUCACUGAGUUCCGGGUUUCAACACACAAAAUAUUUAUGUGCUCAAACCCGGCACUCACUGCUUUCGCAGUAAUUCUCAGGAUGUCAAGCCUUGGUAAGGUUCUUCGCUUACCAUCGAAUUAAACAACACGCUCCACCGCUUGUGCGGGUCCCCGUCAAUUCCUUUGAGUUUUAGUCUUGCGACCGUACUCCCCAGGCGGAAUACUUAACGCGUUAGCUUCGCUACACACCGGGUCGAUACGGCAUACAGCUAGUAUUCAUAGUUUACGGCGUGGACUAC
rnacentral:misc_RNA from 1 species